UACCUGCAGCUCAAGUGGUGGCCGCUAUUAUUGGGCCUAAAACGUCCGUAGCCGGUUUAGUAAAUGCCUGGGUAAAUUGUGUAGCUUAACUAUACAAAUACCGGGUAGACUGCUAAACUUGGGACCGGGAGAGGUUAGAGGUACUCCUGGGGUAGAGGUGAAAUUCUGUAAUCCUAGGGGGACCACCAGUGGCGAAGGCGUCUAACCAGAACGGGUCCGACGGUGAGGGACGAAGCCCUGGGGCGCAAACCGGAUUAGAUACCCGGGUAUCCAGGGUGUAAACGCUGCUCGCUUGAUGUUAGUUGAGCUCCGUGCUCAACUAGUGUCGGAGAGAAGUUGUUAAAGCGAGCUGCCUGGGAUUACGGUCGCAAGACUGAACUUAAAGGAAUUGGCGGGGGAGCACAGCAACGGGUGAGCGUGCGGUUUA
rnacentral:rRNA from 1 species